AGUUCAAGGGGAUGACAUGGUUGCUGCAGUUCGGCACUGAAAUCCAGACAACAAGACAAGGUCAUGCAGCAAGACAAGGAUCUAGCUCAAUAUGUUGCCUGGUCAGCUCACAUGGGCACGCCUCUCCCUUCACCCACAAUGGAUGAGUAGCCAAACUGCAUCGAGCUGGAUGAUAAUGCUGCAGAUGCCAAUAUGAGAAGUGUGAGGAGAAGCUUAAGAAGGAGAACAUACCAUAUGCUUAUGAGUACAAUUACAUUCAGAUUUAUUUUCUGAACUACAUGUUGGUAGAUGAUAUGAGGGCAGUGAACUAAUUGACCAUGCGGCGCUACCUUCGUGGGUUCAAAGUAGAUACAAAAUUAAGGGGGAAAUCAUAACAAAGAGUGAAUUCGGAAACCAUGGGUGUGGUCUCAGGCUGUCGAGAGCAUGUUUGGCGCAUAUGUACACACCAUGUGGCAUGUGUUUUGCAUAUCCUACCUCUCG